rnacentral:rRNA from 1 species
UACGUAGGUGGCGAGCGUUGUCCGGAUUUACUGGGCGUAAAGAGCGCGCAGGCGGUCGUUCAAGUCGCGUGUGAAAGCCCCCGGCUCAACUGGGGAGGGUCACGCGAUACUGAUCGACUCGAAGGCAGGAGAGGGUAGUGGAAUUCCCGGUGUAGUGGUGAAAUGCGUAGAUAUCGAGAGGAACACCUGCGGCGAAGGCGGGUUGCUGGGCUGACACUGACGCUGAAGCGCGAAAGCUAGGGGAGCGAACGGG